CCCAAGCAAGCAUCAGUGACAGCCAGCACCAUGACGGGGUCGUCGUCAGUGUGAUGCUACCUCAUUGACGAGUGGACUGUUGGCGGAGCAAGUUGCCAUCACCGUGAGGUUCCGUAUUAUGCCAAGUGAUUCUACUGCAGUUUGCUAUUCACAUUGGCGAUCCUGCCAGGAGUGCAUCAUAAAUAAAUAACAAGUUAAUCAUAAAAUAGGUAGAAUCACUUGGCAUAAAAACAGUGAGAGAAAACAAAUCGUUUUGGUGUGAGAAGUGUGUGGUCGUGCUGCAAACACAGUGAAGUUGCGGUUCCUGGAGAAAGCUAGAGCGCGGAAAGUUUUUGUUUUUCCAACCGCGUUCUGUUUUAGCCUUGGUUCUAGCACAAACACAUGAACGAAGGCGCGGUGACGUGGUUGAUUUUUGUUGUCGACUGGUAGCACGCUGUGGAUAGGUGGUCGGUCGAUGAUUGCAUGCAUGUUUCUUCAUGUUCUUGCUCGGCAUGGAUGGUCGCGCUUUCGUUGAUUCCUCGGAUCGUACAUGCUCGUGUUGUCGCUCGGUUGAACGGUAAAUGCAAACAGGUUGAUGUGCAUGAUGGUAGAGGUGUUUGACUAUUGUGAAUGUUGCCGUAAAAUACUCGCGGCAUUGGUUGGCUGGGUUGGUUUUUUUUGCUCGGGUUUUUGGUUAGGCAAAUUAAUGGCGUGUCGAACCGCCGAAAAUUUUUCUGCAUAAGGAAAAUGCAGGGACGUGUAAUGAAAACCGUCCAAAGAAACGGCAUUUUUAGAUAACCGCCGAAAAUUAUUCUGCAUAAAGAAAAUGCAGGGACGUGUAGUGAAAACCGUCCAAGGUAAAGGCGUUGUUGGAUAACCGCCGAAAAUUUUUCUGCAUAAGGAAAAUACAGGGACGUAAAAUGAAAUCCGUCCAAGGAAAUGGCGUUAUUGAAAAACUGCCGAAAAUUGUUUGCAUCAGGAAAAUGCAGCGAUGUGUAAAGAAACCCGUCUAAGGAAAUGGCGUUGCAUGAUAACUGCCGAAAGCUGUGCGUGUGGAAAAUGCAGGGACGUGUAAUGAAAACCGCCCAUAAAAAUUGCAUAUCGUAAAACAGUUUAAAAUUCGAAGUACGCAAUGAAAACAUAUCUACUGAAAAUAUGUUGUAGAACCUCUUUCGAACUCGUUUUGUAGAAUCUAUUUUCAUAUAAUGAAGGACAUUUGUGUGUUAUAUAUGGUCCAUCUGUACCAUCACAUUGAAGCAUUGAAAGUGGAGUUGUAUGAUAUACGGAAUCUUUAGUCUGAUAAAUCUCAAAUUCGUUGAUCUUUUGUUUUUUUUUUCUUUUUUGACAAAUAAUUCUUACAAAAUAUGUUCGUUUUCGUUGAAUGCGUCGAAUUUUCGCAAUCGUGAAUAACGAUUGAUUUGAGUGAGAGAAAAACAGGGCCGGCUACAUAACGAGACGUGCGCUUGAAGGAUAGAAGACGCAUCACCCAACUGCGUGUGUUGUAGUUAUUUUUAUUGGAGCUCGGCAAUAGGUUCGGUAUUAACAAAAGUGCGUUUACUGAACAAAAAAGUAAAUGUGGCCAUUCGCCUUAAUUUUUUUUUUUUUUAAUUUCUUUGUAUUUGUGAAUUUUAACUUAUUGCUAAUUCUUCACACAUUCGCCUUAAUUCUUGUAUCUUGAAGUGUAUUGACCGUCCAGUUCCAAACUGUUCACGACCAUUUGAAACAGUCGACGUUUCAAACGGUCGGUGAACGGUUGCUGACGGAUUUGACAGCAAAAAUGAGCGAGAAAGAUUUCGCGCGCAAACGCGUAUUUCAAAACAUUCAAUUGGUGAAACAAGGACAGCUGACCGGGCGCCAACUGAUUCCUUGAUCAGCUGUUGCCGGCAGCCAAGCCGCCAGUUUUUUGGCGUGGACGUCAGGGGUGUUCAGAUGCAAUGUUUAUCAAUUAAUAAAUUUAUGAGGAUAUUUUUUUUUCCGCGAUAAAUGUUUUGCAUUUUCUAAAAUAGGGUGUAAUAAAGGCUAUUUACAUAAGAACCAAGAUAAUUACCUAUGUUUGAAGUUCUUGAAGACCUGAAUGUUUGGAAUAAUGAUGUGCUCGAAAUCAAUUUGCUGAUUGAUCGAUUUCUAUAGAAUACAUCGAGAACCCCCUUGAUAUUCGACGACUGUUCUGAACAGUUUCACAGACAGUCGGGAUAAUCCAACUUUGAACUGAAUACACAAUAUCUUGUUGCAUUGGUCUAGGGGCAAGGCACUGUGCAAACGAGAGCAACUCUGAGAAAUUCUGAGUUACUUCUUUUAUCGAUGAUCGACGAAAUUUGUUGGAAGACAUCCCUAAAACUGCAAUUUUCAUUCAGCACACGCAACACUUUGGCAGUUUGACAUUGGUGCCAGAUCACACUUUGGCAUAAAUGGGAGAAAUUCUGAGGAACUGUGAGGAAUUCUGAGCAACACCUCGAGCACAGAUUUGCUCUCGUUAGAUCUGUCUCGCCCCUAGGCAUUGGUGCCAUAAGGAUGAAGAGAACGAAAUUGAGGGUUUGAGCGUAAAAAUAACAAGCCUGCUAGUAAGAAAACUUUUUUUUUCGGAGAAGAGGGAGAAUGUGGGGUAUGAACAAAGCUGAGUAGCAUUUCCCAUGCGUGUAUUUCCCCAAGCAAGCAUCAGUGACAGCCAGCACCAUGACGGGGUCGUCGUCAGUGUGAUGCUACCUCAUUGACGAGUGGACUGUUGGCGGAGCAAGUUGCCAUCACCGUGAGGUUCCGUAUUAUGCCAAGUGAUUCUACUGCAGUUUGCUAUUCACAGUAUGGAAAAACAAAAUUUGUAUGGCCAGAUCCCCCACCCCCCAAAAAGUCUACGUGGUUUAUUAAAGGUCCACGGAGAAAAAUCAAUGUAGUUUGAAUCAACAAACAGGUUUGUUGAACUACAAACUGGAAAAAUAGUUGUUUCAAACUGUAAUUUUGUUGCAUUAAAUUCACCAUUUCAGUUUGAAACAAACUGGAUAAUUUGUUGUUUUAACUACGGCGUCCUACUAUGAGACAACAACAAAAUUAGUUGUUUUAAACCAAUCAGUUUGUUGUUCCUACAAAACCUACGGUUUAUAUUUACUAAAACACGGGUUGUCCUCUUUCGGCAGAGCAAAUCAAACUAUAAGGUUGAUUUUACUACCGAGGCGGUUGAAGUGAACUAAAAUGUUUGUUGGAGAAGUAAUAACUAACAUCUUGGUUUGAAACCUGGGAGAAACAAACUAACUUUUUAGUUUGUUUCAUGCUUCCUCUUCCACGUCAUUGCUUGCUUCGAUGCAAACAUGAAUUUCAUCCACUCGAAUUUAGCCCACGUUGUGUGAUUGCUCGUUUAAGAAAAAGUCGUUUAAGAUAAAUCAAAGUGCAGUAUUAUUUAAUCUGAAGUCCUUAAGAUCACAAUGGCUGAUGAAGCUGAAUAGUUUCCAGUAACAACAUCACAACCACCACCCGCCAUGGUCGCAAGAUUGGCUGCCAACGAAAGCUCCAAAAAGGACAAGGCUGCCGACUAUCCCCGGAACCCACAUGGACAGCUGCUAUGGGAAUCCAGACCAUAUCCAUCGAAAGUGUGAUUUAUGUUGUCAUCGUGGAAGCUACAUAUUUCAACCUUAAAGUUCACCACAAUGCCGUACAAGAAUCGGCCGUAAAGGUGCCCUUCAAUUCAACAAUCGCCGCAUCGCUAUACGUGAGGAGUCCAUACAUUUGUCUGGACAUUUGUCUACAUUGUUUUACUUUUAUGUAUGAUCUCAUUAUUCAGAUAUGAAGAAUGUAAAUAAGAGACUUUUCAAUAAAAUCUACGAAUACUCCAGCAAACAGUUAUUUAUCAGAUUUUUUCAUAAUAUUAGCCCAAGAAUAGCUAGGGAUAAAUAAAACAUACCGGUUGUUGUAACCGGUAUCCUUAGUAUUUAUUACAAACCAAACGGUUUGUUUCAAACGGCAAAUUAAUUGGAGCAAACUACGAGCGUCAGUUGAAACAACUAACGGAAACGGUUGUUAUCUCAAAUGUCAAAAUGGAACAACCGGCUUAUUAGUAAAUUCAAACCAAUAUUUGUAGUUUCAACUCACGCUGAAAUGAACUAAGGUGUCAGUUAAAUACAACUACCGGAGGUAGUCAAAUCAAACCGAAAUUUCGUUCGUGCCGAUUUCAACCUGAAAUGCCGGUUAAAUUAAACUGAAAUUUGAUUGUAUUUACUAAUAAUUUUUCUCCGUGUUAGAACUGGAUUUGUAUUUUUUCCGCGCAUAAUUCCACGUUAGCAAAAAAUUAACCAGUGAUCGUGUUGAUCUAGUCAUUUCUUACCCCUCCCUUUGAAUUUGGAUUCCCUGAGAUUUCAUUUUCCAAAAGAAAUUAAAACAUUUGUAGCGGAAGUCGGGUACCAACCCAAAUGAUGAGCGCAGUCUUAACCCUGGAGCCGAAGGGGUCAUAUAUAACCUCAACAUAUAAACGGCUGUAUAACCCAAGAAACAAUUAUUCAUUUGAGAAAGGUUUCUUAAAGCAGUGUUAUUAAAAUAUAAGUUUUAUUAUAUUUGGUUUAGUUCAAAUUAAACCGUUGUUAAACUCUUGUUAGCCCAGAAAUGGAGAAUCUGUUCAACAUCAGCCGUUCUAUAAGCGUUGUAAAUGUUAUGUUUAUUCAAUGAUCGUUGCUUCAUUAUACGGCUGUUGUUCAACGUUCAACCCGUUUGCUAUUUACAAAUAUAUCAGCAACCUUUCUUAAACGUUUAUCAACCAAGUUGUACGAUGUAUUUUUGUAUAAUCGUCUAAUAAAGGUUUUAGAAACAAUUAAAGCAAACUUGCAGCCUCGUUCAUUAUAACAAGCUUUCUACGACAAUGAUUCCACCAGAAUACAAACAAAAUUUGGCAACAAUUUCAAUUUUUAUAUUUUAUUGAACAAAUGCUGUAAAAAAGUUUCUUAAACGUUUCUUCAAUAUCGCUCUAUAAAUAAAUAAGCAAAAAGAUGUUUCAUUUUACAUAUUUCUCAUAUGAAUAUUUUGAAACAGCUUUUUAUGGCUAGAUUACCUACAUUAAUCACAGUUUUAUGAUAGAACUCACAUCAUUGACAAGACUCGAACUCGGGACUUUUUGCUUCACUGUUGUCUGCAUCUGCUCUUCUCCAAUCAGGAUUGCAUGAAUCGGAAAAAUUAAAUCAGUAUUUAAACAUUGAAUCGAAUACGUUGCCGUCCAUACGUUGCUAAAACAUCGCUUAAGUUUUGUUAUUCGACUAGUUGUCGACAUGAACAUUGAUGCUGAUUAAUGAUUGAUUAAUCAUAUCCGCAACGUUUAUUCAUUUAAAUAAACUUUUCUGCAAGCUAUGUUUAUCAGCAGCGCUACUGGAGCCUAUUAGUAGCUGUGAAGUCAGUUCGCUAUGGUGCGAUGUUGUUUAGCAAAUUUGGUGAUCAUUCAAACAUAUUUUUCAUUUCUCAUGCCCAAAAAAGUGAGUUGUGUUUAGUUUUCGGAACAUUCAUUUCGUGUACGAAAGUAAAAUGUGUCACCCUGCUGUUGAUCUCCUGACAAAAGUGGAUCCUGAACCCGGUCAAGAUAGAAAUAAGGCUCGAUCUGUGUCAUGAUGAAGGAACCAGGGGGAAAACUUUUAGACGCUGCUUGUUAGAGGAGCCAGUUGCCGUUUUCAAGCUCGGUGGAUUUGCUGCCGUUGAUCAGUGUAGUGUUAAAGGUAAUUCGUGAUGUUUUUUGAAGUGUGAUACAAUUAUUUAGAGCUGCUGCGAGGCUCCUGUUUGAUGUAGAAAAAUUUGCAACUGUGUUUACAAAUGUAAACAUGGCGAACAAUGGCGAUUAAGAGCACUGCUAAUCAGCAGCUGAACAGAACGAAUAAGCUACUCUUGUUAACCUAUUUUUAAGCUAGUUGUUCCACUAUGAAUUAUAUAUGGAAUAAUGGCAUCUAAUACGUCGGAAACAGCUUGUAUUCGUACAUUAUUAGAACAUUAUUAGGCUAUAGAUGGAAAUUCGUAAACUACAUUUCUUAAACUUCUGUUCGAUCAGUUGUUCAAUUUACAUAAAUAUGAUGAACAGGAGUGCUAUUUAAACUGUUUGAAAUAUUUAUUCGACUCUUUUUUCAACACAUACCCUUAUUCAACUGUCGGCGUUAUCGUAGAACGCUUGUUAAGCUGGCAUGCUUAUUAAUGAUUUCGAAUUGUUACUUGGGAAAUUCACCCAUUCGAUAAAACAGAAUACGGUAUUCGGCAAAGUUGUUGCAAAUUGAGUUCUUUAUUAAGAAAAAAUGGGAAUAUUUGUAUUUGAGAUAUUACUGAUAUCCUAGAACAUCCUGAAUACCAUGAAGUUUGGAUACACGAAAAAAUGGGCAUACCAGCUGUUCUAAAAGCUGAAUUUGGGUAUGGGCUACGCUCAUAAGUAUUCAUUCAACCUGUGUCAAGAACAUCGUGAAAAGGUGUUUUAUAUUCACCUAGAACAUGUAGUUAAGUCCUUAAAAUCUAUAACAAUUUUUUUUGUAUUUUCGACAUAAAUAACAGCAUUGCAUAAUCUAAUUGGGUCCGUGAAGCUCUUGAAACUUCAAAUAGCUUUUUGUGACACUAUAGGGAUAUUCCAGGUCAGCCAAAUUGCCUUGAAGUUCAGAACUUCAAGUCUACACUCGUAACAAUAGCCAUAUCUGCUAUACUGAGUAACGCUGCAUAAUCAAUUAAUCAACCGCGGUUACUGCACCUAUCUGAAGUCUACUUGAUGUUAUUAAAAACCUUUGGGACAUUCAGGGUCCUCCAAACUGUCUUAUGAUGAAGUCCUACAAAUCUACAAGAAAAACUAGAUGUGUUUUUGACAUAAAUAACAGCAUUGCAUAAUCUAAUGGAAUCCGUGAAGCACUUGAAAUCUCAAAUGUCAUUUAAAUAGAGACACUAUAAGUAUAUUCCAUUUCAGCCAUGUAUACUUGAGCAACCUAAAGUCUACUAUACAUAAUUAUGAGCCCUUGGGCCAUUCAGGGAGGUCCAAACUGUGCUUAAGUUUAGCUCUUGACAUUAACAGUAGUUAUUCUCAUAAUGAACUGUAGCAUUACCCGUACAACCUCAAUCUGUUAUCCCCCUGGAAUUUCCUGAGUCAUUCCCAGGUAGUUUUGAGAUAUUCGCAUUCGAUCAACCAAAUUACUUCGGAGACCGUAGCUUGAAGUCUACACGUGUGGUAAUAGCGUUUGCCACUAAGGACUGUAUCGGAAAUUAACUAUAAACAAUCAAAAUGCUCUAUCUCGACGCACGGUUGGUCUUUCCAUUCCGGUUCUUCUAUGAAAUCUUCACAAUAUAGUUGAGUUUAGAACAGCUUGAAGAAAUUUGGAAAAUGUUAAGUAUUAUUGAAAAUAUGGGUCUAUGUGUAUACCACACAAAAUAACAAUCUGUACAAACUCCAUUUUUUUUUUAUUUUUUUUAACGUUUCAAACAUUUGUAGUGAAAAAAAAUGGUACGGGGAAAAAUCUGGAAAAUAAUGAUUAUUACUAGCAGUUAUGUACACAUAACAUAACACUCAAAACCGAGUAUUAAAAUUCUUAUUUUGGAUAGAAAAACCUCCAACAUUAAAAAUAUGGUCUAUCCCAAAAAACACCUACUUUUUGGUCGAACUUUGACGGUCUGUUUUAAAUAUCUUUAGAGGUUAUAAAAUUCCGUUCUCUGGUAAAAAUACCUCUUCAAUAGAUUUAAAUACACACCCAAUCGAAAAAAAAAUGCAAAUUUUCAAUUUAAUGUAUUUUUUAUUUGCGUAAUCGUUCUUUGAAGCCGCAUAAAAAGAGUUCCUCGAAAAAUGGACUUUUUUCAUUUUUAAGAAUUGCCCUAAACUGUGGAGGGAAUUUUUCUUGAUAAAAAUAAUUUUCCUAUAUCAUGAGCAUUCUGGAAAAGAUUAUAUUUGCGCAAAAAUAAGAGAAAAAAAUGAAUAUUUUACCACAAUUUUAAAAUUUUAGGAGGUGUCCAAAAUUUUAAAAACAUAUGUGCAAUCUUUGAGAUAAAAGUCCAUGUUGAAUGAUUAUUUUUUGAAAAUCAGAACUGCCAUUCUUUAUUUAAGAGAUUUAUAUAGUAUCUCCAAAAAUAAAGUUAUGUUUAUUUCGAACAGAUUAUUUUUCAGGCAAUUGUGAACGUUUAUAGUUAAUUUCCGAUACAGUCCUUAUGUUAAUAAGUGUGACAUCCACUGUAUUUACCAAAUUAGUUCAAGGAACAAUAAGCGUUGUUAUCUAUAUUUGGGAUAUUAUUGUUGGGAAUCUCAGCACAGUGGACCAGAGCUACCGACCGGAACGACCAACCGGACAAUUACCGUUCCCGGGAUUCGUUAUACGAACAAAAUAAUUGCUACGCCGAUCGUGUUUAUAUCACUUUAAUCGUCAACGAUCUAGUACGGACUGAAUAAACAAAACAGCUAAAGUCAUCAAGCUUCGUCAAAUACAUCUGUUACAAACACAUACAAUCAUCAACAUCUGUCUGCUAUUCUCAAGGGGACGGCAACCUAUUUUUUCACUAUGGAGUUUGACAGGUUGGAUUGUGCCUCCUUACGUGGAGCAUAAAUUUAUGCUCCAGCCAAAAUAUUCACCAACACAGUCAUGGAAUUUGCAUGUUUACCUUUUAUACGAGGGAUAUCGGUGCAAAACGCUUACCUCACAUUAGAUCUCAUAAAAGUAUUGAUGAUGAAAAUGCGGCAUUAAUUGAUAAUUUUCAAUUUCAGAGUGUCGAUGUUUAGGUAAAGUUCCUACAGUGAGUGAGAAUUGCUAGUGAAAAGACACACCACACCUUUUUUCGCAAACUUUGUUCGCCAAAGUGCGUUUUUCCUUAUUUCCUCCCGCUGCUGUAUUGAGUAAAUGUUGGUAUUAGUGAACACUGGUUGCGCAUGAUAAGCGGCAACAAAAUCAGAUCACCGUAGCAUCCCCGUGGCUAUUCUGCUAUUAUCAACGCACCCCCUGGCUUUCGCCCAUCUGCGUUCUCUUUUCACUAGGCAAUACGUCCACCGACAAACCGACGUGACACUCUGUUUCCAAGAUUGGCAAGAAAUUUAAACCUCAAACCGUUUAAAAAUCGUAACUCGUUCUGUCAUUUUCGUCUUUUGACAAAAGAAACCUUGAAGAAGACGUCAUAAAACAGCACGAAAAUUUCCAGCUGAUCAAUGUAAACAUCACAUGCACUCUUAUUUCUAUCUAACCAAUAGAAGAUACAAUCAACCAUGCAAUGGAGCUAUUAAAAGAAAUCCUUCGAUAUGAAGCAAAAUAGUCUAUGAACCCCAAAUAAAAACUCCCAAACAUAAAAACUUUCAGCGGAUGAAAUUUCUUUUUAACGUUCAUAACGAAAUGUCUUCUUAAUGCGCAAAACAUUGAAUGCAGGUUAUUACUUCAAAAUGUGUAAAAUAAUUUGACAAGGUAAAGCUCCUGUGCGCACGCACACAUAAAGAGGAAGCUGUAUAAAUCAUCGCACAGAUGGAGCUAGUGAUUAAAAGGAGAACUUAUUUGCCAAGAAAAAUUGGAAAAGUUGUAUGAGCUGGCACGUCGGUUUGUCGGUGAUAUGUCUACCAAUUCUCGCGUUACAUUUGAAAAGGGCCUAUCCCUAGAACGUAAACAUUGAGAAAAAUCGAUGCAAACAUUUUCCAUCACAUUUUCUAUUCGUAUUUCACAGUUUUCGGAUUUUUCGACAUGCUUUUCGUUUUAAUGACACAAGAAUAGAUGUAUCUAUGCUUCAAUAAGCAAUUUUGCAUUAAAAGUUAUCAAAAAAGUAUGAAAAAUUAUAGAUAAACAUGUAAAGCUAAUUUAAAAAGUUUCAUCCGGUGUACGCCUUAUUGUGAGUCUUUCUAAAAUUUUCUUAGCGUGGGUUGGUCCCCCGAGUGAGUCCGUUGUUGACAUCGUAUCAAGGCUUGGCCGUUUUUGAGAGAGAGAAUUCUCGCUCUCGGCGCUCGGGCCGAGAGCCGCUCCGAAAAUUUUCGGUUGUCGGCCCUUUAAACGAGAGGACCAACAAAUGAAAACAAAAUUUUACCGUUACUGGCCCAUUUGGAGCACGGGCUUAUGAAUGAUUGGGAAAAAAGCAAUGAUCGGCCGUUUUGAAGGUGGGGUUUAUUCUGAUAAGAUUAACGGUUAGGCGGGUGAUGUUUGCACAGUAUGUUACUGUUGGGGGAUGCUAUGGAAAGGUAUCAAAAUCGAUUUGUUUACAUUUUAGGGAUAGGCCCUUUUCAAAUGUAACGCGAGAAUUGAUGU